GUUAAGUUGCAGGGUAUAGACCCGAAACCCGGUGAUCUAGCCAUGGGCAGGUUGAAGGUUGGGUAACACUAACUGGAGGACCGAACCGACUAAUGUUGAAAAAUUAGCGGAUGACUUGUGGCUGGGGGUGAAAGGCCAAUCAAACCGGGAGAUAGCUGGUUCUCCCCGAAAGCUAUUUAGGUAGCGCCUCGUGAAUUCAUCUCCGGGGGUAGAGCACUGUUUCGGCAAGGGGGUCAUCCCGACUUACCAACCCGAUGCAAACUGCGAAUACCGGAGAAUGUUAUCACGGGAGACACACGGCGGGUGCUAACGUCCGUCGUGAAGAGGGAAACAACCCAGACCGCCAGCUAAGGUCCCAAAGUCAUGGUUAAGUGGGAAACGAUGUGGGAAGGCCCAGACAGCCAGGAUGUUGGCUUAGAAGCAGCCAUCAUUUAAAGAAAGCGUAAUAGCUCACUGGUCGAGUCGGCCUGCGCGGAAGAUGUAACGGGGCUAAACCAUGCACCGAAGCUGCGGCAGCGACGCUGAUGCGUUGUUGGGUA
rnacentral:rRNA from 1 species